rnacentral:tRNA from 1 species
GUGAGGGGUUGUGUGGAAAGACGCGAGGGACUUAAAAUCCCUCGGGCCCAAAAGGCCCGUACCGGUUCGAUCCCGGUCUCCGGCACCA